CCCCCCGCCUCAAAAACAACUUGAAUGACGGUUAUUUAAAGCGAGUGACUCAAAUUUCAGUCCUCAAUCGUCUUGAUAUCUGUAUUGAAACUAUUUCUUUACAUCUUUAAGUAAAAAGAAGAAGACAACAGAUAAUUUAGACAAGAAAGAAUGAAAGUGGUUAUCGUUCUUUGCCUACUGGCUCUUGUCACAUUAGCAUCAGCCUAUUAUAAUAACAUUGGGCAAGGUACAGCACAUGGGUAUGCACCACUCAGUGGCCUAGGGCGAAUUCCCUUCUAUGGGGGAGGCUACAGAGGGAGGUACUGGGGAGACGGCCCUGGAGAUGACUGGGACGAUGCUUACGACAACGGAGGAUACAGGAGGUUUUACAGAUCCUGGUAAACCUGAGGGAACUAUGUAAAACUAAAUGCAACAAACAGAUGUAAAAAUGUUAAAGAGAAAUCCUGUGGUGAUGACAAGAUCAGGAGAGAUACAUUCUGCAGACAACCCACAAACCCAUUUUUGAAUGACAACUGUAAAC